rnacentral:rRNA from 1 species
UACGAAGGGGGCUAGCGUUGUUCGGAUUUACUGGGCGUAAAGCGCACGUAGGCGGAUUGUUAAGUCGGGGGUGAAAUCCUGGAGCUCAACUCCAGAACUGCCUUCGAUACUGGCAAUCUCGAGUCCGGAAGAGGUAAGUGGAACUCCUAGUGUAGAGGUGGAAUUCGUAGAUAUUAGGAAGAACACCAGUGGCGAAGGCGGCUUACUGGUCCGGUACUGACGCUGAGGUGCGAAAGCCAGGGGAGCAAACGGG